rnacentral:misc_RNA from 1 species
GUCACAGGACUUGCCAUGUCAAGAGUAAAUGGCUUCUCUUGUUACUUCUCUUAGAUACUAGAUCCUUUAUGAAAUUCAGUGUUGAUUUAGUUAUGUGUAUUAUUUGUUUAAAGUUCUCCCACAAGUACUCAGAUUGCUUUGAUUUCAGAAAUGAAUUAAUUGCAUGCCUGUGUUAUUUUUGGGAGGCUCUGCAGUCUGUAUUCUUUUGGCUAGUGUUUAUGGAAGCCUUUAAUGGUGAGAGAUUUCAUUUCAUUGCAGUCUACUAACAAGAAAGUUGUGAAA